GGAACUUCCGGUCCGCCUGGAUCUGAUGAAGUAAACGGUCCGCAGGGCCCAGCCGAUCAGGCAGGAUCUCCCGGAGCUGCUGGACAGACACCGCAUGUCACCUCCCCACCAGUCCUGGCUCAUUCCACCCGCCCAGAGAGGCCUGCAGCGGGACCGGCUGCCACAGGCAGCGCCUCCACCGGUACCGGACCCAGCACCUCGGGCGAGCCCUGGGCACUCUGUGAUUUCCAGCACGGAGCCGGGGGCUGCGGCUUCACACAAGACACGAGCGACGACACGGACUGGGUCUGGGGGAGUCAGCACACCCCCACGAGUAACACUGGG